CAAACGUAAAACCCUAUUCCCAAUCAAAAAACCCUAUCGUUCUUCUUCUUCUCCCAAACCAAAAAUCUAUUGAAUCCACGAACAAACUUUCUCAAUCCACAAACAAACCUUUUGAAUUCGAUGAACCCUAAUUGAACCCCUUCUGAAUCCCUUCUUCGCUCACGAAAUUUCCUCUUUCUUCUCUCACGAAAAUCGCUUCGCAAUCCCUUCUUCUCUCACGAAAUUUCCUUCAGCAAAUUCGAAGAACACGGGGAAUCGAAGGACCGAUUUUCUUCUUCUGCAAAACAAAUUUCGCUUCUUCUGGGUGUAUAUCUUCUUCUUCGGCCACCGUAACACAAUCGGUGGAAGCCUCCAAUCCCUCAGAAUCACGCCGUCGAUAUUGACGUCUCUUCCAACAGAGGGUAUAUUUUAGUCAGGAGGCCUUCAUCGUCGUCGGGUACAGUCGAAGGCCAUCAACGAUUCGAAGAACAUCAAAGCAUCAUCAUCCUCCAUCGAUUUUCAUAAAGAAUAGUGGGUUUUCCCUAACACCUAAGUUUCAUCCGUCGUCGGCACCAAUAACCCCUGACUUCCUUUUUACCGUUUAAUACCGGCAACGGUGGACAUUGGUUGUUGGUCGCGAUUAAUCCUAUCAGUGAAGUUGUAUAUUUUCUGGAUUCCUUACACAAUCCAGUUAGUACAUACGAAUCUAUGAAGAAGUUGGGUGAUACCGUUAUACAAGUUUUUCGAGCCCAAAGAGGAAGUCAAGUACCAAAGAGUAAAGACAACAACAUCACAUGGAUUCAAGUGGAGUGUCCUGGGCAGCGUAAUGCAGUAGAUUGCGGUUUUUACAUGUUGCAGUUUAUGAAAGAAAUUCUUCUUUCAAAUCAAAUAGAGAUUCCGUCCAAGUACUUUGAUGACUUCAAGUGUGCUACUUACUCAAGAUCUAAGUUGGAUGAACUUAAGGAGGAAUGGUGUCAAUUCAUGAUUGAGUUGAAAGUUGUAUAGGAUAUUGAAGGGUAAAAAGGUUACAGUUGCUGGCAAGAAGAAAAAGUAGAUAUUUAACAUCCUUUUGACUUGGAUGUAAUUUUGUGUAAUUGUUUUCAUUGAAUUGGAUGUAAUUUUGUUGUUUUGGGUAAAAAUGUUUUGGAUGAUGCAAUUGUUUUCAUUGAAUUGGAAGUCAAGUACCAAAGAGUAAAGACAACAACAUCACAUGGAUUCAAGUGGAGUGUCCUGGGCAGCGUAAUGCAGUAGAUUGCGGUUUUUACAUGUUGCAGUUUAUGAAAGAAAUUCUUCUUUCAAAUCAAAUAGAGAUUCCGUCCAAGUACUUUGAUGACUUCAAGUGUGCUACUUACUCAAGAUCUAAGUUGGAUGAACUUAAGGAGGAAUGGUGUUAAUUCAUGAUUGAGUUGAAAGUUGUAUAGGAUAUUGAAGGGUAAAAAGGUUACAGUUGCUGGCAAGAAGAAAAAGUAGAUAUUUAACAUCCUUUUGACUUGGAUGUAAUUUUGUGUAAUUGUUUUCAUUGAAUUGGAUGUAAUUUUGUUGUUUUGGGUAAAAAUGUUUUGGAUGAUGCAAUUGUUUUCAUUGAAUUGAAUGUAAUUUUGUUGUUGUUUAUUAAUAUAUUCCUAGCAUCUUAGCAUAUAAAAAAUACAAAGUU